rnacentral:rRNA from 1 species
AUCCUGGCUCAGAUUGAACGCUGGCGGCAGGGCUUAACACAUGCAAGUCGAGCGGGCGAGGUUGCUUCGGUAACUGAGCUAGCGGCGGACGGGUGAGUAAAGCUUAGGAAUCUGCCUAUUAGUGGGGGACAACAUUCCGAAAGGGAUGCUAAUACCGCAUACGUCCUACGGGAGAAAGCAGGGGAUCACUUGUGACCUUGCGCUAAUAGAUGAGCCUAAGUCGGAUUAGCUAGUUGGUGGGGUAAAGGCCUACCAAGGCGACGAUCUGUAGCGGGUCUGAGAGGAUGAUCCGCCACACUGGGACUGAGACACGGCCCAGACUCCUACGGGGAGCAGCAGAAGGG